rnacentral:rRNA from 1 species
GAUGAACGCUGGCGGCGUGCCUAAUACAUGCAAGUCGAGCGAACAGACGAGGAGCUUGCUCCUCUGACGAUAGCGGCGGACGGGUGUGUAACACGUGGAUAACCUACCUAUAAGACUGGGAUAACUUCGGGAAACCGGCGCAAAUACCGGAUAAUAUAUUGAACCGCAUGGUUCAAUAGUGAAAGACGGUUUUGGUGUCACUUAUAGAUGGAUCCGCGCCGCAUUAGCUAGUUGGUAAGGUAACGGCUUACCAAGGGAACGAUGCGUAGCCGAGCUGAGAGGGUGAUCGGCCACACUGGAACUGAGACACGCUCCAGGCUCCUACGGGAGGCAGCAGUAGGGAAUCUUCCGCAAUGGGCGAAAGCCUGACGGAGCAACGCCGCGUGAGUGAUGAAGGUCUUCGGAUCGUAAAACUCUGUUAUUAGUGAAAAACAAAUGUGUAAGUAGCUAUGCACGUCUUGACGGUACCUAAUCAGAAAGCCACGGCUAACUACGUG